AUUGAACGCUGGCGGCAGGCCUAACACAUGCAAGUCGAACGGUUACAGGGAGAUGCUUCCUGCUUUGCUCACCGGUCGCGGAAGUAAUGGCUAGGACUCUGCCUGGGCGUGGGGGAUGGCGUUCGCAACUGGACACUGAUACCACAUCCGUCCUGCGGGACAAAGUGGAGGAUGUUCGCAUCCCGCCCUAUCGGAUUAGCCUAGGUCGGAUUAGCUAGUUGGUGGGGUAAAGGCUCACCAAGGCGACGAUCCGUAGCUGGUCUGAGAGGAUGAUCAGUCACACUGGAACUGAGACACGGUCUAGACUCCUACGGGAGGCAGCAGUGGGGAAUAUUGGACAAUGGGCGCAAGCCUGAUCCAGCCAUGCCGCGUGUAUGAAGAAGGUCUUCGGAUUGUAAAGUACUUUAAGCGGGGAGGAAGGGAAGAAAGUUAAUACCUUUCCUCAUUGACGUUACCAACAGAAGAAGCACCGGCUAACUUCGUG
rnacentral:rRNA from 1 species